ensembl:lncRNA
ACAUAUUUGUUCUGGAAUAUGGUGUGGGAUAACCAGAAAAAUGGAAUUGGUCAAAUUCAUCCAUUGUUUUUGACCUCAGGAAUGAAGGGCCUUAGAGUCGGAGCAUACAGGACUGCGUAAGCCUGACCUUCCAGAGCCAUCCACGGAAUAGAGGCAAGAGCUAUGUAAGCAGGUUAUGGAAAUAUGUGAUUAACCCUUGCCAAGGUGGCCCGUCAAAUGAAUGCUUGCUGGAUUUCUUCUUAAUAACUGAGAACUGAAGCAGAGAUGUAAUGGGAAGACCUUUACAGUUGACACAGGUACAAACUGUAAGCAGAUUUAGAAACUACAGCGUUACUUUAUCAGAGAUCUUCUGCACUUCAGGUCUGAGAACAGGAUGUUAAGAAAGAAUACUCAGCUAUGCAACAGAGCAGAUCCCAUUUUGGGUUACUUGACCAGAAGAAGCAGCUGAAAUGGAAGACUGCAUUUUGCACUCAUUCUCUCAAGGUGUCAUUGUGAGCUUAAAGUGGUUUUAGCUGUGGAUAUUCCAGAUGCCACAAUCAACACUUGAUGGUCACUAUCUUUGUAAUCCAUGUAAUUAAGACAAUGGGCAAAACAGAACUCAUUUAUUUAUAAUAUAGCGCUAUUAUUAGUGUCUGCUUCUAAGAAACCACAUGUGAGGCCCCGUGAUGUGAUUAAUCAGGCAUUCCAGCUGCUUUUGAGUGAUCCCAGCACUGACAACUGAAGCAGGAGGAAUUCUUCUCCAGUGUAGCACAGUUUAUGACAUCCUGUUAUGCAGUCUGAAAUGAACGCCCAUGUCUGAGUGAAAGAAAGCUAAACACUUUGUAUGAGAAUGUACAUAAUCACUAAGAAUUUGGCAAGGACAAAAGCCAAAUCCAGGGCCGUUGAUUUGACAGUCUCAUGUCUCAUCCAACAUCUUCUGUUCUGGUCUUGCUUCUUUCCUAAAUUAUGAAUAUGUUCUUGGCCUGGUAGAAGGUACACAGCACAGAUCUUCUGAGGCACGGAUGAAUUUGGGAAAAAGCAGACCUGCACUAGAUGCUUAGCUGCAGUGUCUGAUUUUACAGAGCAAAAAUAUACUUUCCUCUCUGUCUACUCAGCAGUUUUGAUCAUCAGAAGAUUUUGAAAGCCUUUUUAAUAAUAAAAAAGAAACACAGGUAUACUCAUUCCUGGAGCAAAAAACUACAGAAAAGGUUGUGAAGUAAACCAAGUCUUUCACCUACAGUUAUGUUAAGGCAAUCCGCUUAAAGGGGAAACAACAGAUGACACAGAUUACAUAUUAAGCAGGACCCAAUGAAAUAAAUACACACCACUGGCAUUGUGUCUCACAGGCUUAUGUAUACAUUUGUGCUACGCUGAAGUUGAUUUAUGGAGUAUAUAUGCACAUGUGGCUACAGAGCUGGCCAAAUCACUCAUUGCAGAUAAAUCUGGAAUUUAUUCAAUAGAUCUCAAAUCUACUUUUUUGUUAUUUCAGUGAAAUAAAUUGAUGAUUGAGUGACAUACAAUAAACAAUGUAUUUACAUGACUGAAAGAAACUGUUGAGCCUAUGAUUUAGCUCCCAUGCACACAGAAGCAACAGCAUCAUGCACUAUUGUUCUCUGGAAUUUGAAACUAUUCAUGAUUAACUGUUAAGAUUAUUGAACCACCUUUCCCUAUAUCCGGGUAUUAUGUCUAAAAUGCUAUGGGAUAAUUUUGCUGCAGGCAAAUUACGUUAAUGCAAUCUUGUUCCUGCCGUUCCAAACUCAAACUGGACAGCCCUCCACAAUUCAGUGCAUCCACAGCUUGCUCAAUAGCACCUCUCUGUGAUGUGAGGAAUGCCAAUUCCUGCUCUCUAGCAAUCCAGUUUCACGCCCAGGCUGAUUAAAUAAACUUAGGAGUCUCUGUAGAUGAUUGUACUCAAGAAAGUGCAUUAAAGCUAUAAGAUGCAGAAGAUAACAUGAAGGUGAGAACGCCUGUCUCUUAGAGUAAUGAUGUGAGAUCUUGUUGAAUGGAAAUCUCUCUGAAGAGCCCAGCAUUACCACCAGUC